AGCCAUUCCCUUCUCCAGGGGAUUAUCCCGACCCAGGGAUCGAACUGGGGUCUCCUACAUUGCAGGCAGAUUCUUUAUUGUCUGAGCCAUGAGGGCAGCCCCACUUCUCCAAAGAAGAAAUACAAAUGAUCAAUAAGCAUGUUGAAAAGAUGCUCAAUAUCUUUAGUGGCUAGAGAAAUGCAAAUAAAAACCACAAUGAGAUACCACUUUAUGUCCAUCAAGAUGGCCAUAAUAAAAAGUUAAGAAAAUAACAAAUAUUGGCAAGGAUAUAGAGAAAUUGGAACCCUCAUACACUGCUUUAAAAUUGUGUAGACACUAUGGAAAACAGUUUGGAAGUUUCUCAAAAGGUUACAGAAUUACCGUGACCCAGCAGUUCCACUUCUAGGUAUAUACCCAAGAGAAUUGAAAACAGGCAUUCAAACAAAAACAUGUACAGGAAUGUUCGUAGCAGCAUUCUUCAUAAUGACCAGAAAGUGGAAACAACCCAAAUGUCCAUCAACUGAUGAAUGGAUAAACAAAAUAUGGUAUAUUCAUGCAAUGUAGCCAAUAUUUAGCCAAAAAAUGAAUUUAGUGCUGAUCCAUGUAACAACAUGGAUGAAUCCUCAAAAUGUUAUCCACAGUGAAAGAAGCCAGACACCAAAGGCCACGUAUUGUAUGAUUCUGUUUACAUGCAAUAUCCAGAACAGGCAAAUCCGUAGACACAGAAAGCAAGUCAGUGGUUGCCAGGGGCUGGGAGGAGGAGGGAAUGGGGAGUGACUGCUUUAUGGCUAUGGAAGGGUGAUGAAAAUCUUUUGGAAUUAGAUCAUGGUGAUGGUUGCACAACAUCAUGAGUGUAGUAAAAAACCACUGAAUUGUUCACUUUUAAAAUGAUUAAAAUGGCGAAUAGUGCGUGAAUUUUACCUCAGUUAAAAACUCUCUCUCUGACCCCAUCUGUUCUUCAAUUUUGCACUUUUGAUUGUAAACCAGCACCUUGAUAGUGGUGAUGGUUUAGUUGCUAGGUCAUGGCCUUCCAGUUUCAAAAACUGAAAACUGGGUUUCAGUGGACUCAUCCCCCACAGCAUCGCCAUGGAAUGUAAGCUCUUAGGGACAGAUGGGAAAACCUGCAUAACCUUUCCUGGCAGGCCCUUGGUAACUCCUGCAAGCUCAGUACAGUAAAAGUCACAGGUAGGAAAACAUAAAUUUGUAUGAGAAGAUCUAAGGCUGCUACUCACAGAGCUUAAGUCCUUUUCAUUCUGGAUAAUAGCUCUGAUAGCCUUGGAGGUUGAUCUCAGAGCUUACAGAGUGGUCUAAAAGUGGAAGGAAGCUGUAUUCAACAUUCUCUUAAUUUCUUUCUCUCCCUUUCCUCC
ensembl:lncRNA